CUUUCUUUGCUGGCGACCGGCGCACGGGUGAGUAGCACGUAUCCAACCUGCCCUUUACUCGGGGAUAGCCUUUCGAAAGAAAGAUUAAUACCCGAUAGUAUAAUGAUUCCGCAUGGUUUCAUUAUUAAAGGAUUCCGGUAAAGGAUGGGGAUGCGUCCCAUUAGGUUGUUGGUGAGGUAACGGCUCACCAAGCCUUCGAUGGAUAGGGGUUCUGAGAGGAAGGUCCCCCACAUUGGAACUGAGACACGGUCCAA
rnacentral:rRNA from 1 species